rnacentral:rRNA from 1 species
UGCCAGCAGCCGCGGUAAUACGGAGGGGGUUAUCGUUGUUCGGAAUUACUGGGCUUAAAGAGUUCGUAGGUGGUUGAAAAAGUUGGUGGUGAAAUCCCAGAGCUUAACUCUGGAACUGCCAUCAAAACUUUUCAGCUAGAGUAUGAUAGAGGAAAGCAGAAUUUCUAGUGUAGAGGUGAAAUUCGUAGAUAUUAGAAAGAACACCAAAUGCGAAGGCAACUUACUGGGUCACUACUGACACUGAGGAGCGAAAGCAUGGGUAGCGAAGAGGAUUAGAUA